UCUUCACUCCACCUUCUCCACGUCUCUUCCCACCGCCGAGUCGCCGGCCUCCUCCCACCCCCACCAUGUUUUUUGCUCCUGUCAUCGAGAUGCCGUGGAUCGAUUGAGCUCCAAAUUAAAGAACAUUGAAGUGAUCACCACUCUUGGAGAUUCGGGCCACCGAAAUCAGGGUCUUGAAGUUUCUGAAACCCAUUUGAAGAAAGUUGAUAACUUUGGCCUUGUCCUGCUCAUUUGCUAUCUGGGUUUUUUUCUCUCGCCAAAUCAAGGGAUCAAGCAGAGGUAGCGAAUUGGGGAAAAGAGGAGAGACUGCAAGAUUGGAUACCCAAGUGUAGAGAUGAAGAAGGGAUAUUCUUGGUAUAUUGGGUUAGUCAGUAGCUUUGAAAGCACCUGUGUAUUCAAUUGGACCAAUUUAGGAGUGGAGUGCCUUCUGUGUAAUAAAAAGUUUCUGGUCAAUUUGGAUGCUAAAACCAGUUGUUCAUAGUUGAGAUUGGUUGGUUUAUUACCUGAACUUGCGUCCAAGUCUUACGGCCCUGGUUCUCGCACUUGGUAUGAAUUUCUCGGCCAAUCUUAUUCUUUCUUAUUCCCUGAAAUUGUUUGAGAUCUGCCUAAUACUGAUGUAUUAUAUGUGAUUCUGUGCUUUGUUUGUUGUUUAUGGUUCUAUGAUACCUUUGUAUCACUUGAGUGUUUACCACCUUGUGAAGAUAUUUUUGUUUGCUACCAAUUUUUUUUGUUUUUGCACCUCUGAUCUAAGAAUCUAUUUGACUACAUUUAUAAUACCUAAAUUACAACAUGUUUGGUGUCUAAAUAUAAGGUAAAAAGUAGCUCCAGUGAAACGAAGUUGAAAGAACAUGGAUAAAGAAUGGGCUUAUUGUAAAAGCAGGUUACAUCUAAAACCAGAAACCCUAAGGUUAUGAUGCUAUAAACCAUAAAUGUAUUGUAAACUCUUUUCUAUUUUUUGUUGUUGUUGUGUGUCAUUAGCAAUCCUAGAGCCUUUCAUGACGGAGCCAAAAAGUUUGUUGAUAGCAUUCAUGCAAGUAAGGGGUAUCCCGAAAAGAUCCAGUGCCCAUGUAGUAGUUGUAUAAACGUAUGGUCUUACCCACCUCGUACUGUAUUAGAUCAUCUAACCUCAAAUGGGAUAUAUGAGAGUUAUGUUAAUUGGACCUUUCAUGGAGAUGAGCCAAGAAGUAGUUGCUAUUUACAGAAAAAAUGUGUUGAAAUAUUGGGAAACUGAACUUGGUACUUUUAUUGGAAAAUUGACAUAUAUCUUCAUAUAUAUAUGUUUAACUUAGAUGAUCAUUUGCUCUUACAUAUAUGGUUUGCUGAGUACUUGCUUUUGUUAUUUAACUGUGUUUUACAUUCAUAACAGGGACUUCCAGUUUUUGAAGUAUAUAUUAACGAACUCCGACUGAUGAUAAAUUUCUUAAAGAGAUAGUCGAGAGAUUCCGCAUUUGGUAGUUGUUCAAAAGAUGAUGCGGUAUAUUUUGUAAUGCUAUAUUCUUAAACUCAAGUUUGCUACUAAUUGUACUUAGUUUGUAGUAGAUUGGAUAUGACAAGUUUGUUAAAACAUUUUUUAGUAUUUAUGGUAUAUAUGUUGA